GCUGAAUCCACACGCACAAACUGCUGAGUCCACACACACAGACUGCUUAGUCCUCCCCACACACACACAGACUGCGGAGUCCAUGCACACACAGACUGCUGAGUCCACACACACAGACACAGACUGCUGAGUCCCCCCCACACAAACACACAGAGACUGCUGAGUCCAUGCACACACAGAGACUGCUGAGUCCCCCCCCACACACAGACU